AACGAACGCUGGCGGCAGGCUUAACACAUGCAAGUCGAACGGGUGUAGCAAUACAUCAGUGGCAGACGGGUGAGUAACACGUGGGAACCUUCCUAGGGGUACGGAACAACUCAGGGAAACUUGAGCUAAUACCGUAUACGUCCGUGAGGAGAAAGAUUUAUCGCCCUUAGACGGGCCCGCGUCGGAUUAGGUAGUUGGUGGGGUAACGGCCUACAAAGCCUACGAUCCGUAGCUGAUCUUAGAGGAUGAUCAGCCACACUGGAACUGAGACACGGCCCAGACUCCUACGGGAGGCAGCAGUGGGGAAUCUUGGACAAUGGGCGCAAGCCUGAUCCAGCCAUGCCGCGUGAGUGAAGAAGGCCUUAGGGUUGUAAAGCUCUUUUACCAGGGACGAUAAUGACGGUACCUGGAGAAUAAGCCCCGGCAAACUUCGUGCCAGCCGCCGCAGUAAUAC
rnacentral:rRNA from 1 species